rnacentral:rRNA from 1 species
GACGAACGCUGGCGGCGCGCUUAACACAUGCAAGUCGAGCGAGAACCCAGGCUUCGGCCUGGGGGAAAGCGGCGAACGGGUGAGUAACACGUGGGUAAUCUGCCCUCGGCAUCGGGAUAGCCCGGGGAAACCCGGAUUAAUACCGGAUGGCCCGACAGCUCUUCGGAGCGGUCGGAAAAGGUAGCUUCGGCCUCCGGCCGAGGAGGAGCCCGCGGCGGAUUAGCUUGUUGGUGAGGUAAUGGCUCACCAAGGCUCCGAUCCGUAGCUGGUCUGGGAGGACGGUCGGCCACGCGGGGACUGAGAGAGGGCCCAGACUCCUACGGGAGGCAGCAGUGGGGAAUCUUGCGCAAUGGGCGAAAGCCUGACGCAGCGACGCCGCGUGAGGGAAGAAGGCCUUCGGGUUGUAACCCUCUUUCAGGAGGGACGAAGCCACUCGGGUUAAUAGCCCAGAGGGUGACGGUACCUCCAGAAGAAGCCCCGGCUAACUACGUGCCAGCCGCCGCCGUAA